rnacentral:rRNA from 1 species
UCGAACGAUGAACCUCCUUCGGGAGGGGAUUAGUGGCGAACGGGUGAGUAAUACGUGGGCAAUCUGCCCUGCACUCUGGGACAAGCCCUGGAAACGGGGUCUAAUACCGGAUACGAGCCUCCACCGCAUGGUGGGGGUUGGAAAGCUCCGGCGGUGCAGGAUGAGCCCGCGGCCUAUCAGCUUGUUGGUGAGGUAACGGCUCACCAAGGCGACGACGGGUAGCCGGCCUGAGAGGGCGACCGGCCACACUGGGACUGAGACACGGCCCAGACUCCUACGGGAGGCAGCAGUGGGGAAUAUUGCACAAUGGGCGAAAGCCUGAUGCAGCGACGCCGCGUGAGGGAUGACGGCCUUCGGGUUGUAAACCUCUUUCAGCAGGGAAGAAGCGAGAGUGACGGUACCUGCAGAAGAAGCGCCGGCUAACUACGUGCCAGCAGCCGCGGUAAUACGUAGGGCGCAAGCGUUGUCCGGAAUUAUUGGGCGUAAAGAGCUCGUAGGCGGCUUGUCACGUCGGUUGUGAAAGCCCGGGGCUUAACCCCGGGUCUGCAGUCGAUACGGGCAGGCUAGAGUUCGGUAGGGGAGAUCGGAAUUCCUGGUGUAGCGGUGAAAUGCGCAGAUAUCAGGAGGAACACCGGUGGCGAAGGCGGAUCUCUGGGCCGAUACUGACGCUGAGGAGCGAAAGCGUGGGGAGCGAACAGGAUU